CUUAAGUCAGUGCCACGCACUUAGCUGGAAUGGACGUGUCGCGAAUUGUGAGACAAUGAACAUUUUUUGCGGUAAUUAAUUCGUGAAUUUGGUUCGUCUGAAAUAUUGAUAAGCUCGCAACUUUUGAUUUUAUGAGAUAUGCCUCGCAAGUACGUGCGCAAAGUAGGGGCAAGCCCUCGGGGCGAAUGGACGGAAGAUGCCCUAAGAGAAGCUUUUGAAGAAAUGAGGCAGAAUAAGCACGGCUUGAAUGAAAUAUCUCGUCGAUAUGGAAUUCCUGCCAGGACCCUGAAAAGACGUUUCGUGAAACAAGAUACUAAGAAACUUACUUUAGGUACUUUGUCAAUUAAAUCAUAAUAAAUAAAUCUAAGACAAU
rnacentral:lncRNA from 1 species